rnacentral:rRNA from 1 species
AAUCAACGCUGGCGGCGUGCCUCAGACAUGCAAGUCGAACGAUUAAAGCUCUCUUCGGAGAGUGCAUAGAGUGGCGCACGGGUGAGUAGCACGUAAGUAAUCUGCCUUUGAGUGGGGAUAACAGUCGGAACGAUUGCUAAUACCGCAUAACGCAGCGGCACCGCAAGGUGACAGUUGUUAAGGAGCAAUCCGCUUAAAGAGGAGCUUGCGGCAGAUUAGCUUGUUGGUAAGGUAACGGCUUACCAAGGCUACGAUCUGUAUCCGGUCUAAGAGGACGGUCGGACACACUGACACUGAAUAACGGGUCAGACUCCUACGGGAGGCAGCAGUCGGG